CGAUGCCAGGCAACCAUGAACAUAAACUAUUUUUUUUGCAUUUAAGUUAACAUUAUAAUGAAUAUAAAUUAUACUUUGGUAAUGAUUUGGGAUAUUUUCACAACAUUUUUUAAAACAGAACGCGCCCGUGACGUUUGGGCACUGUUACCUAGAGACGACGGAAGGUUGUUGUUUACAGUUCUCUUUCCAAGUUUGUUGACAAGGAACUCUCGCGAUAGUUAUUCACAAAGUCGAGGAACGUCAGCGAUAUUGGAAAAGGAGUAUCUCUGGCCACCACAAUGAGAUUAAAGACAUCAUUACUCAAGGAACCAAAACA
ensembl:lncRNA